rnacentral:rRNA from 1 species
UACGUAGGGAGCAAGCGUUGUCCGGAAUCAUUGGGCGUAAAGCGCGCGUAGGUGGCCUCAUAAGUCCGCUGUGAAAGUCAAAGGCUCAACCUUUGAAAGCCGGUGGAUACUGUGAGGCUAGAGUACGGAAGAGGCGAGUGGAAUCCCUGCUGUAGCGGUGGAAUGCGCAGAUAUCAGGAGGAACACCAAUAGCGAAGGCAGCUCGCUGGGACGUUACUGACACUGAGGCGCGAAAGCGUGGGGAGCGAACAGG